GUAGGUGAACCUGCGGAAGGAUCAUUACCGAGAGAGGGGCUUCGUGCUCCCGGGGGUUUCGGCCCCUAACUCUUCACCCUUUGCGUAUUUACCUUUGUUGCUUUGGCGGGCCCGAGAGCCCUCUCGCGCCGACUCUUCGGCCGGCGAGUGUCCGUCAGAGGCCCAUUUAAAUUCUAUUCAUUAGAGACGUCUGAGUUCCAACAACAAUAAGUAAAAACUUUCAACAACGGAUCUCUUGGUUCCAGCAUCG
rnacentral:misc_RNA from 1 species